GAUGAAGAACGCAGCGAAAUGCGAUAAGUAAUGUGAAUUGCAGAAUUCAGUGAAUCAUCGAAUCUUUGAACGCACAUUGCGCCCGCCAGUAUUCUGGCGGGCAUGCCUGUUCGAGCGUCAUUUCAACCAUCAAGCCCUGCUUGCGUUGGGGUCCUGCGGCUGCCCGCAGGCCCUGAAAACCAGUGGCGGGCUCGCUAGUCACACCGAGCGCAGUAAUACAUCUCGCUUUGGGCGUGCGGCGGGUUCUUACCGUUAAACACCCCCUUUUUACCAAGGUUGACCUCGGAUCAGGUAGGAAUACCCGCUGAACUUAAGCAUAUCAAUAAGCGGAGGA
rnacentral:misc_RNA from 1 species